UACAGAGGUCUCAAGCGUUGUUCGGAUUCAUUGGGCGUAAAGGGUGCGUAGGCGGCGUGGUAAGUCGGGUGUGAAAUCUCGGAGCUUAACUCCGAAACUGCAUUCGAUACUGCCGUGCUUGAGGCCUGGAGAGGAGACUGGAAUUUACGGUGUAGCGGUGAAAUGCGUAGAUAUCGUAAGGAAGACCAGUGGCGAAGGCGGGUCUCUGGGCAGAAACUGACGCUGAGGAGCGAAAGCGUGGGGAGCAAACAGG
rnacentral:rRNA from 1 species